rnacentral:rRNA from 1 species
UGGGGAAUAUUGGGCAAUGGGCGGAAGCCUGACCCAGCCACGCCGCGUGAGUGAUGAAGGCCUUCGGGUCGUAAAGCUCUGUGGAGAGGGACGAAGAAGUCAUGGUGAACCAUGGCGGUGACGGUACCUCUUUAGCAAGCACCGGCUAACUCCGUGCCAGCAGCCGCGGUAAUACGGAGGGUGCAAACGUUGCUCGGAAUCAUUGGGCGUAAAGCGAGUGUAGGCGGCCUAUCAAGUCGGAUGUGAAAGCCCUCGGCUCAACCGAGGAAGUGCAUUCGAAACUGGUAGGCUCGAGUCCUGGAGAGGGUGUCGGAAUUCCCGGUGUAGAGGUGAAAUUCGUAGAUAUCGGGAGGAACAUCAGUGGCGAAGGCGGACACCUGGACGGGUACUGACGCUGAGACUCGAAAGCGUGGGGAGCAAACAGGAUUAGAUACCCCCGUAGUCC